rnacentral:rRNA from 1 species
GACGAACGCUGGCGGCGCGCCUAACACAUGCAAGUCGAACGAGCGAGAGAGAGCUUGCUUUCUUGAGCGAGUGGCGAACGGGUGAGUAACGCGUGAGGAACCUGCCUCAAAGAGGGGGACAACAGUUGGAAACGACUGCUAAUACCGCAUAAGCCCACGGUGCCGCAUGGCACAGAGGGAAAAGGAGCAAUCCGCUUUGAGAUGGCCUCGCGUCCGAUUAGCUAGUUGGUGAGGUAACGGCCCACCAAGGCGACGAUCGGUAGCCGGACUGAGAGGUUGAACGGCCACAUUGGGAGUGAGACACGGCCCAGACUCCUACGGGAGGCAGCAGUGGGGAAUAUUGCACAAUGGGGGAAAGCCUGAUGCAGCGACGCCGCGUGGAGGAAGAAGGUCUUCGGAUUGUAAACUCCUGUUGUUGGGGAAGAUAAUGACGGUACCCAACAAGGAAGUGACGGCUAACUACGUG